CUUCACAUUGUUUAAUACGAGUUACUUAUGACUCAUAACCAUUUUUUUCCUGUGUGUCAUCAGGGGCCUGCAUGUGGUGAUAUUUGGCCCUUCAUCGAAAGGCCCUCGUCUCCGCCUGACCUCUGACCUGCGUUCUAAACACACUCUGGGAAUCUACCUGUGGCCUCACUGUAGGCAUCGAGACCAUCUGCCUACUCAUCUUCAAUCUCGACCCCAUUGUCAAGCUAAGAAACCCAAAACCUACUUCUGAUGUGUAGAUAGCUGUUGAUGUGUAACCCCACGAUUAUGCUACCUUGGUCCCACAUCUGCUUGUGCUGUCUUGUCAAUGCCUAUUUGUGUGACAAUGACAGUAGGAGUUGGCAAGACAGUACAAACAGAUCUGGGACCAGGCUAGGAUCAUACAUUUCUCAAUCAAUUUCAUAGUGUAGGAAGCAGGUCAUCAUACACAACCUUUUCACAUGUUACUGUAAGGAUGAGUAGCCUAUUGUUUGGAAGUGAUUCAUCUUUCAUGGAGUUAUUGGGCGUGAGGAAUUUUUGAAAUAGCAAAAUAGCUGGUGGGCUACAUUGUGGUCAUCUCAGUGUCUGUCAUUGACAGGACAUUAUCCCAGAACCAAGUCAUAUGUCUACUCUCUCCUCUGAAACCAAAACACAUGGUUGAUAAUGUAAUCAUAUUUUCUAUGAUGUUCUAUUCUAUAUUGAGUCUACAAGACUGGGUGAGCUUGUUUCGUAAUGUCCUUAGAACGCUCUGUCCCGAUAUCUCAUCGUCAUUUGUAUUGUAGACUGUGAAAAUGAGAACUUCUUCAGCCAUUCUACCUCCUUCAAAGUUCAUCAUUGAUGAAGAACACCUUGAAAUGCAUCAAGGGAACGCUAUUGGAAAUCACAAGUGUGAUCUUGCUAGUGGUUCUUCACCAUGUUUGGCAUGCUGCUCUUUCAAGGGGAGAGUCAUACAGUGGCUACUUCCCCAGCGAGGCCUUCCAGAGAAUGUUUGAUUUGCUACACAAGGACAGGAUCAACCAGGUAUGUAUUUAGAUCUACAGUUAGAGAUACUGUAUUUAUAUGUACUAUAGUAUAUGUCUAAAAUAAUCAAAUAUAUAUUUUACAUCUCUACCACAAUAUGUAUUUCUUACAAUCUGUGCAGUGAAAUGACUGUCAGUCUAACAGCAAUCACACUUGCAUCAUUUGCCCUUGUGCUUGCACUUCCCGGAAUAAAUAAUAUUACUUAUUAUAUGAUAAACAAACAAACCUNNNNNNNNNNCUCGACAUAAACAUUGUGCUACCCACCUCUCAGAAAAUCACACGGGAUUCCUAUGAUAUUGUUGAACAACGUGAUCGCAAGUCCCUGCUACGUUCACCAUAACAGGCCGCCAGUGUCAUGAGAAACAUGGACAUCACCUCAAGUUCUAUGUUAGCACUUAACACUGUCAAAUUGCACGGAAACGCAACUUAGACUACCGGAACACAAGUCACAGCUUUCACAUUUCAUAACGACGGCGACCAUUAACCUUUUUUUUGGGGGGGGGGGNNNNNNNNNNGGGGGGGGGGGUCUGCAGUGACAUCAAUGCGGCAUCUUGAUUCCACUUUUCCAUGUUUUCUAUAAUGGCAUUCAAAUCCAUGUUCAUUAUUAUUGUGUUCCCGGUCCACCCGUACUGUAUGUUUAGUACCGGGCUUUACCGAUAGCUGUAUGCCCAAUGCAGAUAUGACUCCGUGUUAUCUUUACUCCUCCAUUCUGGUCCGUGGAACAACAAAAAAAUGGGUAUAAGAUUAGCGAAGGAUUGCAAGUUUACCGCAUAGCACGUGGGAUU
rnacentral:lncRNA from 13 species